UAAGGAAUAUUGGUCAAUGGUCGGGAGACUGAACCAGCCAAGCCGCGUGAGGGAUGAAGGUACAGAGUAUCGUAAACCUCUUUUGUCAGGGAACAAAAGGCGCCACGCGUGGCGCUCCGAGUGUACCUGAAGAAAAAGCAUCGGCUAACUCCGUGCCAGCAGCCGCGGUAAUACGGAGGAUGCGAGCGUUAUCCGGAUUUAUUGGGUUUAAAGGGUGCGUAGGCGGCGAGUUAAGUCAGCGGUAAAAGCCCGGGGCUCAACCCCGGCCCGCCGUUGAAACUGGCUUGCUUGAGUUGGAGAGAAGUAGGCGGAAUGCGCGGUGUAGCGGUGAAAUGCUUAGAUAUCGCGCAGAACUCCGAUUGCGAAGGCAGCAUACCGGCUCCAUACUGACGCUGAGGCACGAAAGCGUGGGUAUCGAACAGGAUUAGAUACCC
rnacentral:rRNA from 1 species